UACAGAGGUCCCGAGCGUUGUUCGGAAUUAUUGGGCGUAAAGGGUGCGUAGGUGGCAAGGUAAGUUAGAUGUGAAAUACCGGGGCUUAACCUCGGAAUUGCAUUUAAGACUGCCCUGCUCGAGCUCCAGAGAGGAGACUGGAAUUUACGGUGUAGCAGUGAAAUGCGUAGAUAUCGUAAGGAAGACCAGUGGCGAAAGCGAGUCUCUGGCUAGCAGCUGACACUGAGGCACGAAAGCUGGGGGAGCAAACGGG
rnacentral:rRNA from 1 species